GUAGGAAGCAGGGAACAUUG
rnacentral:rRNA from 1 species